rnacentral:rRNA from 1 species
UCCACGUGUGGAUUUUUGUAUGUACCAUAUGAAUAAGGAUCGGCUAACUCCGUGCCAGCAGCCGCGGUAAUACGGAGGAUCCGAGCGUUAUCCGGAUUUAUUGGGUUUAAAGGGAGCGUAGGUGGACAGUUAAGUCAGUUGUGAAAGUUUGCGGCUCAACCGUAAAAUUGCAGUUGAUACUGGCUGUCUUGAGUACAGUAGAGGUGGGCGGAAUUCGUGGUGUAGCGGUGAAAUGCUUAGAUAUCACGAAGAACUCCGAUUGCGAAGGCAGCUCACUGGACUGCAACUGACACUGAUGCUCGAAAGUGUGGGUAUCAAACAGGAUUAGAUACCCUGGUAGUCCACACAGUAAACGAUGAAUACUCGCUGUUUGCGAUAUACAGUAAGCGGCCAAGCGAAAGCAUUAAGUAUUCCACCUGGGGAGUACGCCGGCAACGGUGAAACUCAAAGGAAUUGACGGGGGCCCGCACAAGCGGAGGAACAUGUGGUUUAAUUCGAUGAUACGCGAGGAACCUUACCCGGGCUUAAAUUGCAUUUGAAUAUAUUGGAAACAGUAUAGUCGUAAGACAAAUGUGAAGGUGCUGCAUGGUUGUCGUCAGCUCGUGCCGUGAGGUGUCGGCUUAAGUGCCAUAACGAGCGCAACCCUUAUCUUCAGUUACUAACAGGUUAUGCUGAGGACUCUGGAGAGACUGCCGUCGUAAGAUGUGAGGAAGGUGGGGAUGACGUCAAAUCAGCACGGCCCUUACGUCCGGGGCUACACACGUGUUACAAUGGGGGGUACAGAAGGCCGCUACCUGGUGACAGGAUGCUAAUCCCAAAAGCCUCUCUCAGUUCGGAUCGAAGUCUGCAACCCGACUUCGUGAAGCUGGAUUCGCUAGUAAUCGCGCAUCAGCCAUGGCGCGGUGAAUACGUUCCCGGGCCUUGUACACACCGCCCGUCAAGCCAUGAAAGCCGGGGGUACCUGAAGUACGUAACCGCAAGGAGCGUCCUAGGGUAAAACUGGUAAUUGGGGCUAAGUCGUAACAAGGUAGCCGUACCGGAAGGUGCGGCUGGAACACCUCCUUU